rnacentral:rRNA from 1 species
AGUUUGAUCCUGGCUCAGGACGAACGCUGGCGGCGUGCCUAAUACAUGCAAGUCGAGCGCAGGAAGUCAUCCGAACCCUUCGGGGGGACGUUGACGGAAUGAGCGGCGGACGGGUGAGUAACACGUAAAGAACCUGCCCUCAGGUCUGGGAUAACCACGAGAAAUCGGGGCUAAUACCGGAUGGGUCAUCGGACCGCAUGGUCCGAGGAUGAAAGGCGCUUCGGCGUCGCCUGGGGAUGGCUUUGCGGUGCAUUAGCUAGUUGGUGGGGUAACGGCCCACCAAGGCGACGAUGCAUAGCCGACCUGAGAGGGUGAUCGGCCACACUGGGACUGAGACACGGCCCAGACUCCUACGGGAGGCAGCAGUAGGGAAUCUUCCACAAUGGACGAAAGUCUGAUGGAGCAACGCCGCGUGAACGAUGAAGGCCCUCGGGUCGUAAAGUUCUGUUGUAAGGGAAGAACAAGUGCCGCAGGCAAUGGCGGCACCUUGACGGUACCUUGCGAGAAAGCCACGGCUAACUACGUGCCAGCAGCCGCGGUAAUACGUAGGUGGCAAGCGUUGUCCGGAAUUAUUGGGCGUAAAGCGCGCGCAGGCGGCCUCUUAAGUCUGAUGUGAAAGCCCCCGGCUCAACCGGGGAGGGCCAUUGGAAACUGGGAGGCUUGAGUAUAGGAGAGAAGAGUGGAAUUCCACGUGUAGCGGUGAAAUGCGUAGAGAUGUGGAGGAACACCAGUGGCGAANGCGACUCUUUGGCCUAUAACUGACGCUGANGCGCGAAAGCGUGGGGAGCAAACAGGAUUAGAUACCC